GAUGAACGCUAGCGGCAGGCUUAACACAUGCAAGUCGAGGGGCAGCACGGGUAGCAAUACCUGGUGGCGACCGGCGCAAGGGUGCGUAACGCGUGAGCAACAUGCCCUAUACAGGGGGAUAAUCCAGGGAAACUUGGUCUAAUAUCCCAUAGUAUUUAGAGGAGGCAUCUUCUAUAAAUUAAAGCUUCGGUGGUAUAGGAUUGGCUCGCGUGACAUUAGCUAGAUGGUGAGGUAACGGCUCACCAUGGCAAUGAUGUCUAGGGGUUCUGAGAGGAAGGCCCCCCACACUGGGACUGAGACACGGCCCAGACUCCUACGGGAGGCAGCAGUAAGGAAUAUUGGGCAAUGGAGGCAACUCUGACCCAGCCAUGCCGCGUGCAGGAAGACGGCCCUACGGGUUGUAAACUGCUUUUAAUAGGGAGUAAGGUUAGUUACGUGUAACUAAUUGCAAGUACCUAUAGAAUAAGGAUCGGCUAACUCCGUGCCAGCAGCCGAC
rnacentral:rRNA from 1 species